UAUUCUCGCUAAAUUUAGAUAACAACGUUGCAAAUUUAAUUAAUUUCGAUAGGUUUACUUGUUUUGUAUCAGAUGGUGAAUUCAAUGAUCACAUAUGCCAAAUUUCAAAUAUUUACUCAGUUAUUAAAUCGGCGCUUACUGUUUUAAAUCACUCUGAAAAAAAAUCCCAUUCUUAUAAAACUUUUGAAAUCCAUCAACGGAUCAAAACAAAAACUUCGAACUAUCAUCAUGCCUGCUGAAGCAAACCCAAUGACCACAAGUGCUGCUGCCAGAAUCAUGAGCAACGCUGCCGAAAAUAACGGAACUGGUCAAGUGAAAUCGGGCAGCUUUCCAGCCAGGGCGCAAAAAGCUGCUGCAGCCAAUGUGAAUCAAGGAAAAACUCAGCACCAAGGCGGCAAAAAAUGAAUGGCGAACAUAGUAUGAGGGCUACGGUUGGAUCAAAUCAAGCUUAUUUGAGCAGUCUUGAAAACUGGCGAUCUAAAAAAAAAUGAGCAAUUUAGAACUGAAAGACUCAAAAAAACACGAAAAUUACUUUUAUUAUUCUGUACCUGGUGUGUGUUAGAACCUGUUGCAUUGACCUUGAUAUUAUGAAAAUUACAUUUAUGGUUGAUUGAA